GCCGGGCGCAGUGGCUCACGCCUGUAAUCCCAGCACUUUGGGAGGCCGAGGCGGGUGGAUCACCUGAGGUCAGGAGUUCGAGACCAGCCUGACCAACAUGGAGAAACCUCGUCUCUACUAAAAAUACAAAAUUAGCUGGGCGUGGUGGCGCAUGCCUAUAAUCCCAGCUACUAGGGAGGCUGAGGCAGGAGAAUUGCUUGAGCCUGGGAGGUGGAGGUUGUGGUGAGCCGAGAUCGUGCCAUUGCACUCCAGCCUGGGCAACAAGAGUGAAACUCCGCCUCA
rnacentral:sRNA from 1 species